CGUGUGAGAGAGAUAGAUGCGAUUUGAGAAAAAAAAAAGAGAAAGAGAGAGAGAGGCUCGACGCCCUAGCAAAUCUCGGCCUCCUUCUCUUCUUCUUCUCUCGUCGGCCUCGAGAAUGAUCUGAAAUCUCUCCGCCGCACCAGCCAAAAAGUGAUUUCCAUCGCAGCCACCAGAAUCCUCCUCCCUUUCGCGAUUGGCGUCGUCACCUCCUUCCCUUUCCCGGAAGUUUCUUCACCGGAAUCUGUACCUUCACCACCACCACCACCACCAUCGCUCCCAUCCACCAUCGCUUCUCAGAUCCGUCUUCACCGGAGUAGCCACCACCACCGUCACGCUCAUCAUAACCACCGCUCAGCUCUCUGUCUCUCACUUUCUGUUUCUUGUUCUCUCUACAUUGAGAAAGAAGCACGAGGCGCUCACCAGUGGCAGUUCUUUUACCAAAUCUAAAAGCAUUGCUUCAGGUCUCGUGUUUUGGCUGGUAAAUCUGCUGGAGCUUAAGUGAUUGUUGUUCUUUCUCUGCCUAAACAGACGCAUCUUUGCGUUGCGCGUUUCCAGGGAUAGAGAACAGUUUAUCAAAGGAUUUGGCUGUGGCUCUAAAUGACUCGGAACCCCCUAGUGGUGAAUUUUUUAAGCGUAGGUGAUCUGACAAGGCGAAGCUUCAUGGAGAGCUUGAUACUGGAAGAAGACAGAGGCUAAGUCCUUUGGUGCUUUCUUAUACCUUUGGUGAUACUGGAAGAAGACAGAUGGAGUUGGUUCAGAAGCGAGGGAAGAGAGAUAGAUGAGAAGCUUGAGGGUGGUGGAAGAGCAGAGAUGUUAAGGAUGAUUGUAAGGGUUAUUAGUGGUAUAUUGAUAGUAUGUUUGAUAGGUUUUGAUGGUUUGUGUAAAGAGAAAAAUGUUUUAUGGUUUUGUAAACAUGUAAAUAUUUAUUAGUUUUUACAAGUA